AGAGUUUGAUCCUGGCUCAGCCUGAACGCUGGCGGCGUGGUUAAGACAUGCAAGUCGCACGGGCGUAGCAAUACGUCAGUGGCGAACGGGUGAGUAAUGAAUCGCUAAUGUACCCCGGACUCUGGGAUAGCUGCCCGAAAGGGCAGGUAAUACCAGAUGACAUACCCGCAGGGCAUCCUGUGGAUCUCAAAGGUCCGCCGGUCUGGGAGCAGGCGAUUUCGUAUCGGCUAGUUGGUGAGGUAACGGCUCACCAAGGCGACGACGCGUAGCCGGACUGAGAGGUUGGCCGGCCACAUCGGGACUGAGACACUGCCCGGACUCCUACGGGGGGCUGCAGUAACGAAUCUUCCCCAAUGCACGAAAGUGUGAGGGAGCGACGCCGCGUGGAGGACGAAGUCCUUCGGGAUGUAAACUCCUGUCAGGGGUUACCAAGUUCUGAGGAGCCCCAGAGGAAGAGGCGGCUAACUCUGUGCCAGCAGCCGCGGUAAUAC
rnacentral:rRNA from 1 species